AGGCCACUUCUGGCCACAGUAUGUAGAUUGAGAAUCAAUCAAUUUCUCCUUUCGAAGCUGAAACCCUUCAUUCCAGCUUCGCAUCCCUUGGAUCUCUUUCCGUAUGUUUUCCCUUGCCCUGAACAGCCUGUGGCUACUGCUCAUAGCUGUCAUGCUUACUCCCUAUUAGGGCUGAGUGGGAAAUGAUUGGUUGGUGACUAAUGAAGUAUCUUCCGCUCUCUUCUCCAGGAGCAGGACCUCAGAUCUCAUGAUCAAGAUCCAGUAUUCACUUCACACACCUCCAGUGAUUCUGCUCUCCAAAUGCUAACUAGGUUCCAGGCCUGGCUCACCUUUCUCCUGUUCCUUGAAACCGUUCCAGCACAUCCCAGCCCUCAGUGACCUCACCGCACUCUGAACUCACAGCGCCCUUUGUCCACCAGCACAUCACACACAGCACUCACAGUCUGCAUGCUCCUUUGUUCAUGAAUGGGGCGCAGCUUUGUGAGGGCUCUGAUGGGUUGCCGUCUAGGACAUUUACUCCCCCUUUGAUCUCUCCUCCUAUCAUCUCGCAACUGUAUUAUCGUCUCUUUGAUAGCCUGCAUUUUUUAGCAUCCUUCAGCAUCUAGCAUAGGGCCCAAUGCGUAGAAGGUGGUCAGUAACUAUUUGAAUGAUAUAGUUGACAAUGAAUGGCAAUUCAGAAAA